ensembl:snoRNA
UGGACCAUUGAUGACAACUGGUGGCUUACGUGAUUGUAUAUGCUGGUUGUAUAUGAAGAAUAGUACGUAUCUGAAACUUUGAGGUCCAA